rnacentral:rRNA from 1 species
AGAAUCAACGCUGGCGGCGUGCCUAACACAUGCAAGUCGCACGAGAAAGGGGGACUUCGGUCCUUGAGUAAAGUGGCGCACGGGUGAGUAACACGUGACUAAUCUACCCUCGAGUGGGGAAUAACUGAGAGAAAUCUUAGCUAAUACCGCAUAACACUUACGAGUCAAAGCAGCAAUGCGCUUGGGGGAGGAGGUCGCGGUCGAUUAGCUAGUUGGCGGGGUAAUGGCCCACCAAGGCGAUGAUCGGUA